AAUCAUUCAUGAGUCAUCACGAUGGAUCGCUGACCUAUCGAUUGUAUUGGGACCAAAAUUCUUUUUUCAAAAGUCAAGCUUAGGUUAUGAACGAUGGUACCUGAUCACCGAUCGAUCGCAUUUUAACCAAUCAUUUUUCAAAUUUUGGGCCCCACUUUCUUCGCCCACUGGUAUUCUAACCCCUCACCUAAUGCCUAAACCUUUUUUUUUUCUUACAUUUUAUUUCUUCCUUCUUUCUUUCUUUUUAUUUUCUUUCUUUUCUCCCUCUUCUUUCUUUUCUCUUUCACUUCGCCUCCAUCUUUAUCUCUCUUCCCUCUUCACCGAAUCACAAACCCUAGCCCCCACCUACUCUCCCCUCUCACCUUCUCUUUCUCCCUCAUCCCUCAUCUCUCAUCUCUCAUCUCUCCCCCGUCUCUGUCAACCACCACCGGAGCAGUAAAACCCUCCCCCCUGCGAUUUUCGGCGCCAUCUUAGGCCGCCGUGUUCUCUCUCUUCCGGCGAGCUCUUGGCCUCAUCAGCCGAGCUCCUUCUUCAUCGCGGUCUGUAUUUCAUCUCGGGUUUUCUCUCUUCCUUAUCUCCGGCCAUUUUAUGGCCAAGGAGAAGCGAUUAUCGCCCUCGGCAGCUCUCUGCAAUUUCCGGUCAUCUUCAGUCAUCUUCUCCGGCCACUGUUUCACUUAAAUCUUCCCGAGUCUCUCUCUCUGUUUUUCUCAUCUCUUUCUCGGGACUAUGAAAGGAGGAUGGGAUUCUGUAAUUUGGAGUUUGGGCUUUGAAUGGAGAUUGUUUGCUAUUUUUGUGUUGGAGAUUGGGCUGUGAUUGGAUUGAUAUAUAUGCGUGGUUUUGUGUUUGAAAAUUCUGUGAGUUGAGAAUUGAAACUGUGACUGUUAUUGCCUAUUUGUGAAGUGAUUGUUGAAAAUUCUCAAAAGGGUUGUGGUUUUGAAAAUGUUGCAAAUUUCUUGAAAGUUUUUGUAAUCUCUAAAAAUGGAAAUUGGAAUGGAAUUUGUUAAAUGAAGUGAAGUUUGUUCCUAAUUUGUUUGUUGCACUUAAAUUGUUAAAAAUGGAUAUUGGAAUUGAAAAUUUGAAUUGUGAAUGGAAAUGAUAUUGUUUAGAGAAAGCAUGUUGAAAUUUUGAAAGUAAGUUGAAAAAUACUUGGAACUUGUUUGGCAUUGUAAGUUGGCAAUUUUAGAGUAUGUCCCCAACUUCAUUUAAUUUGAUUAAAGCCUAAGUGUGGAAUUGCGUAGAUGAUUGUUCUAAGUUGUUUAAUGCUUGAAUGUUGUGACUUGAAGUUAAAAAUUUGUUUUUUCUAAACUUGAAAAUGAAGUGUCAAGUCUAUAAACAUGCAAGUGUUGUGAGAUGGAACUUUUUGCAAUGUUUUGAUCUUAAGAUAUAUGCUCAUGAUUGAGCUGAAAUUCUGGAAUAUGAUCUUUGAAAAAUUGGAAAUCUCAUUUGUGCACAAUUUGUUGGUUUUCAAAAGUUGAAAUUUAGUUUCGGACUUUAAAUUUGAAAUGUGAAGUUGAGUUUUUAAAUUCCUUCAAUUGUUGAGUGAUUCAGUGCAUGAUUCUUGUGAGAAUUCUUAUCUACAAUGCAUGUGAAAGUUACAACUCCAAAGUCUCUAAAAAUUUCAUUUUUGAAACCAAGUGUUGAAAUUUUUCAAAAAAUAAAAAUAAAAAAAAAAAUUCCAAAGUGUCCUUAAAUGAGAUGAAUUUGUUCCAUUUGCUUCAUUCUUCAUCCAAAUGCAUGUUUUGAGCGCCAUUGAGUAUAUUCGUAUCAAAUUCUUGAUUCUUGCCAAGUGAGGGCCUCUUAUGAUAUCUUGUGAGCUCAUUUGAUGUGAACUUGAAAUUUUCUUGAAAAUUGUGAUGAAAUGUCAACUUGAACCCAACUUGUUGAAGUCAAAUGCUAUGAUGUUGCAAAUAGAGUUAAAUUGACCCAAUGUGAUUUUUUUUGAGUAAGUGUUGUGAUUUUUAGAAUAAAAUGCAAGUUUCAAGUUUGCAUUUUGGCAGGCGCCCGCCAAUUUUGGCAUCCGCCCGCAGUGUCAGCAUAGCGGGUGCCCGCUGCACUUGGCGCUCGCUAGCAAUGCUCAUUCCAACUUGACUUUUGGCAGCCUUGUCUUUCGUUUUGCUUCGGCUAUAACUUUUUUGUUCAGACUCCGAAUCAUGUGAUUCUUGAGUCUAUCCUUAUUUAUUUUUCGUUGUUUAUCCAAUGGUGUGCACUGUGGCACUCAUUUCUGUUUGAAAUUACCAUUUUGCCCUUAGUCCAUUUCUUGGAGGGUUUUGAAAUCCUAACUUCCAUCUCGCUUCCGUUGAGUUAUGGGACUCCUCGGAAGGCCACUUUGACGUCCUAAGGACAAUGUCCAUCUCUAGAAAUCUUGUUCCCUUUUCGCUCCCACAUUCCGAAUCCGUUAUUGGGUCAACUUUCGGGUUAUCACAAAUGUACCGUGUUUGUAAAACUUAUACCGUCACAGAAGAAUUUUAACAAAUGAAAUAUUGUGAAUAUAAAAUAAACAAACAUGAUUUUGGUAAUAUAAUAAUAUGCAUAAGAAAAUGAAGUUUUUCUAAUAUAUUUUUUUUAAUGGAAGUGAGACAGAUAUAUUCUACAUUACUUUUAUCUUGUUACGGAAAAUAUUUUCAAUGACGAAGGAUUGAUGGUCUUACGGUCCACGAGACAUAUAUCCUUACCUCGAGUUAAUGUAAUUUCGUGCAUGCAAACUUCAUCUUUUAAUAAUAAUAAUAAAAAAAAUAAAAAAAAAACUUUGACCAAAAAAAAAAUAAAUAAAUAAAUAAAAGGCAUGCUUAAUAAAGUAGAUAAUAAAAGAAAGUAUAAAUAAGGAAGUAUAAAUAAGCUGUGUGGAUAUUACUAAUCAAUAAUAGGUUACCUUAUAAAAGCUGAAAUAUCCAUAAGCAUCAUAUAAAAUUCAUUUUUAUCUUUAUUUUCUUUUCUUAGAUUGUGCCUUGGUAAAGAUUAAUUAAAUGCUUGGAAGUAUACGGUGAGAAUCCAAUAAAUACUUAGAAGCAGAUUGUGCAACACUUUCCUUUUCGAUGUUAUAUUGAUAAUAAGCAAUUUGACGUUGAUCAAAUUUUCAUCGGCACACUAAAUCAAUUUCGCAUUGAUAACAAGCAAUGCGUGCAAAUUCUCCCCCUUUGCUUGUUUAAUAUUAUUUUGGUCCCACCAAUGUAAAAGUAAAGUAAUAACAUCCACGGUGUUGAUAGUUAAUUCUAUCAUGACUAUACCCACGACCAUGUUUAUGAUCGUGAAAUGAACAGAUUUCACUUUAGAAAUCGUUUUCGAUCUAGUGGGACUAGUAAUAUCAUAAUAAAAGCUCAUAAUUUUACUCUGCCCACUACAACAGUUAUGUUUUUUACCAGCGUUCAGAAAUGCUCGUGAAAGACU